rnacentral:rRNA from 1 species
GAUGAACGCUGGCGGCGUGCCUAAUACAUGCAAGUCGAGCGAACAGACGAGGAGCUUGCUCCUCUGACGUUAGCGGCGGAAGGGUGAGUAACACGUGGAUAACCUACCUAUAAGACUGGGAUAACUUCGGGAAACAGGAGCUAAUACCGGAUAAUAUCUUGAACCGCAUGGUUCAAUAGUGAAAGACGGUUUUGCUGUCACUUAUAGAUGGAUCCGCGCCGCAUUAGCUAGUUGGUAAGGUAACGGCUUACCAAGGCAACGAUGCGUAGCCGACCUGAGAGGGUGAUCGGCCACACUGGAACUGAGACACGGUCCAGACGCCUACGGGAGGCAGCAGUAGUGAAUCUUCCGCAACGGGCGAAAGCCUGACGGAGCAACGCCGCGUGAGUGAUGAAGGUCUUCUGAUCGUAAAACUCUGUUAUUAGGGAAGAACAAAUGUGUAAGUAACUAUGCACGUCUUGACGGUAGCUAAUCAGAAAGCCACGGCUAACUACGUG